UACCUUUCAAUUUUUUGAAAGAUUUUAAUAAUGGUGACUUAGAAAUGUUUCAUAUUUCUGUACCUCUCUCUCUCUGUCUCCUUCUCUUUCCCCCUUUGGAUUUUUCUGAAUUCUAUUUUGUUUUGAUAGUGCCAUUUGCUCUAGAGACUGUACUUGGAGAUCUGAUAUCUUUACUUUGGACUUAUAGAGUAUAAUCUGAGCAGUGCCACUAUCACCCUACAGUUGUACUUCCCAAGACAGGGAACCUGCCACCAAGGUAUCACCCACAUACAAUGAGUCACUAAGCCCCAAAGACUUUCUUUCCUGAUUCUCUUGGUUUUACCUUGCUUCUGCUUUGUACAGAUUGUUACAUCCUGCAGAUUCUUAUCCAAGACUUUGGCUCUUGUCAUUGUCUUCUGCUUGCUUCUGUUUUAUUUUCUCCUGGCUUCUAAGUUAUCAGACAUGGUGUUGUCAGAUUGUUCUUUCAAAGAUAUGGCUAUCUUCAUGUCACUCCUGUACCUAAGAGCCUAUGAUGGUCCCUAUCAUUUAAUGAAUCACAGUCACACCGCUCAGCACCCAGAGCCUUCUGUCACUUGGAUCUGUUGUAUCUGUCCAGCCUUUCCUCCAUUUCCAUUCAUCAACACGAGACUGCAUAAGACGUGGCUCGCCAUACCUACCUCUGUAGGAGUGAGAGCAAGGUAUGCUGUGGCUAGCACAUCAUUGUACUAGUGACUACUACUUGCUGUGAAAAGCCAUUAUUGGCAUAGACUUCAUAACAGUUUUUAAAAUAGUAGAAAUAAGGCUUAUUUUGAACAAAACAAAGAACAGUUUUUGCUUGAUUUAAGAAGUAGACCAGUUUUAUUUAUUCAAGUGGACAUUUGGGAAGGAUAUGAUGCAAAGCUACAGUGGUUGGAAGAAUGAUGGCCUCCCAAAGCCUUCUACGCCCUAAUCCCACAAGAGGGACAUUUCAUCUGCAAUUGAGAAAAAAAUACAAUGGAGCUGAUGAGAUCAGCCUUCCCCAUCCCACGUGGGCUUGCUCUAAUCACGGAGGCCUUUAAUGUUGAAGCGUCUCUCCCAGACAGGAGUGGUCAGUGGGAGAUGUGCUAUGGGAAAAGAUCAGAGAGAUGCAAUAUUGUACUGUGAAGAUAGAGGAAGGGAUCAUGAGCGAAGGAAUGCUGGGAGGCUCACGAGUUCUUCCGGAAAUCACAGAAAGAAAGGCAGCUCCAUCCAUGCUACAACUCAGUCCUGUGACUCCUGUGUCCGACACCUGGCCAAUAAGACACGAAGAUGAUGGAUUUGUGUUGUUUUAAACCUUCGGGAUUGUAGUACUGUCUCUGGAAGCCUUAGACACUGGACUUGGGAAUCUCAUUGACCUCAAACCUUGCCCCCUCCUGCUGAACUAUUAUUUCCUAUGGAGUAAUCCAGGGGAAGAAGAUUCAUGGACUUCAAUUGUGGAACCACUGUGGAUGCCAUCUGGCUACAAUGCAUAGUGCCAACAAUAGCCCUGGUUAAACUAAGCGGUCACAGACCAAAACCUGAACUUGUGAAUAUGGUGAACUAACAGACAGGAUGUUGCUUUCAGAACCAAGCCAGGAUGUCUAACCGUCUUCCACUGGACCAGUGACGAUGGUAAGGCAUCACCUCACCGUGGAAGGUCAACUUUAGACACUGAAUGAUGGACCAAAGGGUGAUGGACCCCAAAGGUGCUAGAGAACAAACAGGAAAACAUUAAUAAAACUGCAAUCGUUUUUUGGUGGAGGGGGG
rnacentral:lncRNA from 1 species